UACAGAGGGUGCAAGCGUUGUUCGGAAUCAUUGGGCGUAAAGCGCGUGUAGGCGGCCAAUUAAGUCUGAUGUGAAAGCCCGGGGCUUAACCCCGGAAGUGCAUUGGAUACUGGUUGGCUAGAGUACUGUAGGGGGAAGUGGAAUUCCUGGUGUAGGGGUGAAAUCCGUAGAUAUCAGGAGGAACAUCGGAGGCGAAGGCGACUUCCUGGGCAGUAACUGACGCUGAGACGCGAAAGCGUGGGGAGCAAACAGG
rnacentral:misc_RNA from 1 species